UGGGGAAUUUGGGACAAUGGGGGAAACCCUGAUCCAGCCAUCCCGCGUGUGCGAUGAAGGCCUUCGGGUUGUAAAGCACUUUUGGCAGGAAAGAAACGUCAUGGGUUAAUACCCCGUGAAACUGACGGUACCUGCAGAAUAAGCACCGGCUAACUACGUGCCAGCAGCCGCGGCAAUACGUAGGGUGCAAGCGUUAAUCGGAAUUACUGGGCGUAAAGCGUGCGCAGGCGGUUCGGAAAGAAAGAUGUGAAAUCCCAGAGCUCAACUUUGGAACUGCAUUUUUAACUACCGGGCUAGAGUGUGUCAGAGGGGAGUGGGAUUCCGCGUGUAGCAGUGAAAUGCGUAGAUAUGCGGAGGAACACCGAUGGCGAAGGCAGCCUCCUGGGAUAACACUGACGCUCAUGCACGAAAGCGUGGGGAGCAAACAGG
rnacentral:rRNA from 1 species